AGAGUAUGAUCCUGGCUCAGAUUGAACGCUGGCGGCAAGCCUCAUACAUGCAAGUCGAGCGAGAACGUUACUUCGGUAGCUAGUAAAGCGGCGGACGGGUGAGUAACGCGUAGGAAUCUACCUUUCAGCGGGGGAUAGCUCGGGGAAACCCGAAUUAAUACCGCAUACACCCUAAGGGGGAAAGAGGGCCUAUCCUUGGAAGCUCUCGCUGUUAGAUGAGCCUGCGUGAGAUUAGUUUGUUGGUGGGGUAAUGGCCUACCAAGACUACGAUCUCUAGCUGGUCUGAGAGGACGAUCAGCCACACUGGGACUGAGACACGGCCCAGACUCCUACGGGAGGCAGCAGUAGGGAAUAUUGGACAAUGGGGGCAACCCUGAUCCAGCUAUGCCGCGUGUGUGAAGAAGGCUCUAGGGUUGUAAAGCACUUUAGGUAAGGACGAAAAGAAUAUAGUUAAUACCUAUAUUCCGUGACUUAACUUACAGAAUAAGGACCGGCUAACUCCGUGCCAGCAGCCGCGGUAAUACGGAGGGUCCAAGCGUUAAUCGGAAUUACUGGGCGUAAAGCGCGCGUAGGCGGUUUGUCAAGUUGGAUGUGAAAUCC
rnacentral:rRNA from 1 species